rnacentral:rRNA from 1 species
AUUGAACGCUGGCGGCAGGCCUAACACAUGCAAGUCGAGCGGAUGAGGAAAGCUUGCUUUUCGAUUCAGCGGCGGACGGGUGAGUAAUGCCUAGGAAUCUGCCUGUUAGUGGGGGAUAACUCGGGGAAACUCGGGCUAAUACCGCAUACGUCCUACGGGAGAAAGUGGGGAAUCUUCGGACCUCACGCUAACAGAUGAGCCUAGGUCGGAUUAGCUAGUAGGUGAGGUAAUGGCUCACCUAGGAGACGAUCCGUAACUGGUCUGAGAGGAUGAUCAGUCAAACCGGAACUGAGACACGGUCCAGACUCCUACGGGAGGCAGCAGUGGGGAAUAUUGGACAAUGGGCGAAAGCCUGAUCCAGCCAUGCCGCGUGUGUGAAGAAGGUCUUCGGAUUGUAAAGCACUUUAAGUUGGGAGGAAGGGUAUUCACCUAAUACGUGGGUACUUUGACGUUACCAACAGAAUAAGCACCGGCUAACUCUGUGCCAGCCGCCGCCGUAAAAC